UACGUAGGGAGCAAGCGUUGUCCGGAAUCAUUGGGCGUAAAGCGCGCGUAGGUGGCCUCAUAAGUCCGCUGUGAAAGUCCAAGGCUCAACCCUGGAAUGCCGGUGGAAACUGUCAGGCUCGAGUCCGGAAGAGGCGAGUGGAAUUCCUGGUGUAGCGGUGAAAUGCGCAGAUAUCAGGAGGAACACCAAUGGCGAAGGCAGCUCGCUGGGACGGUACUGACGCUGAGACGCGAAAGCGUGGGGAGCAAACAGG
rnacentral:rRNA from 1 species